AAGCUGUCGCAUGACUGGCGGAUGACGUGGGUGACCACGGGGGAGUGCGACAGUGGGAGAGCCGGCCGCCUGGGCACUUGAA
rnacentral:ncRNA from 2 species